CAUGCUGUGCAUAGCCACCACAUGCCAUGGGCACCGUUGUCGUUCUGCACAAAGGAGGAGCAGCUCAGCAAGCUUGGCCUGGGCCGUGGGAGGGAGCAUGCAGACAUCUGGACCAACCGGCAAUGAGUUAGUUCUUGAGUGGUCUGUGCGGCCAGGAGAGGGGGGAAAUGGCCCUAAACUGGAGUACAGGAAGUUCUGCACCGACGUGAGAAGGAACUUGUUCACAGCGAGGUGACGGAGCACUGGUACAGGCUGCCCAGGGAGGCUGUGGAUUCUCCUUCCCUGGAGAUACUCCAGACCCAGCUGGAUGCCCACCUGUGCAGCCUGCUGUACGGAACCUGUUGAGCAGAGGGGGGAGUUGGACUCGAUGAUCUCUAGGGAUCCCUUCCGGCCCCUACAGUUCUGUGAUUCUGUGAUUGUAAUCGUUGCUUCUUGCAGCAGUAGAGUGUUUCAGAAGAGAGAAAAUCAUGGCGGCCAUGAGCUGGCUUUCUGUGGUUGGUAAAGCUGUGCUGAGAUCUGGGCUGACUAUUGCAGCUGAAAAUGCGUGCCAAGUCUGCAGACACAGAGGAAUAACUUUUCCAUGUAGGUUGAGCUUGUCUAAGCUUUUGUGGUACAAAGAAGCACGGCAAGGUGAUGGAACAGCUUGUCCUAGAUGCCAUGGCCAAGCAGUUGGAGAAGAAGAAGAUCAUCAGGAAUAGUCAGCAUGGAUUUAGCAAGGGGAAAGUGUGCUUGAGCAACCUCCUAGGCUUCUGUGAGGCAUCAGCAGCUAUAUGGAUGGCGGGAGAGCAAUGGAUGUAGUCUACGUUGACUUCAGCACUGCUUUUGAUGCAGUCUCCCACGACAUCCUGGUAAUGAAGCUGAGCAAGUGUGGGAUAGAUGAGUGGACGGUGAGGUGGGCUGCGAGCUGGCUGAGUGGCCGAGCUCAGAGGGUGGUGAUGGGCGGUGCAGAGUGCGGUUGGAGAGCUGUGAGUGGCGGUGAACGCUGGGGGUGGGUGCUGGCUCUGGUCUCGUUCAAUAUCUUCGUCAACGGCCUUGAGGAGGGGAUGGUGUCCACCCUCAGUAAGUAUGCCUCUGAGACAAAGCUGGGAGGAGCAGCUGGCCCACCGGAAGGCUGUGCUGCCGUUCAGCAAGAGCUGGACAGGCUGGAGAGCCAGGCAGUAGCAAAGCAGGUGAGGUGUAACAAGAGCAAGUGUAGAGUCUUGCACCUGGGAAGGAAUAACCGCAAGUAUCAGUAGAGGCUGGGACAUGAGCUGCUGGAGAGGAGCUCUGCAGAGAAGGACCUGGGGGUCCUGGUGGGUGACAGGUUGGCCAUGAGCCAGCAGUGUGCCCUGGUGGCCAAGAAGGCCGGUGGGAUGGUGGGACGCAUGAAAAGGAGCGUGGCCAGCAGGGCGAGGGAGGUGAUCCUCCCCCUCUGCUGUGCCCUGAUCAGGCCUCAGCUGGAGUACUGCAUCCAGGUCUGGGCUCCUUGGUACAAAACAGACGGGGAUCUCCUGGAGAGAGUCCAGCAGAAGGCCACAAAGAUGAUCGAGGGCCUGGAGCAUCUCCCCAGUGUGGAAAGUCUGCGUGACCUGGGUCUGUUCAGCCUUGCGGAAAGAAGACUGAGAGGGGAUCUUAAUAAUGUUUCUAAGUAUCGGAAGCGUGGAAGUCAAAAGGACAUGGACAGCCUUUUUGCAGUGGUCUGUGGGGUCAGGAGAGGGGGGAAAUGGCCCUAAACUGGAGUACAGGAAGUUCUGCACCGAUGUGAGAAGGAACUUGUUCACAGUGAGGUGACAGAGCACUGGAACAGACUGCCCAGGGAGGCUGUGGAUUCUCCUUACCUGGAGAUACUUCAGACCCAGCUGGAUGCCCACCUGUGCAGCCUGCUGUAUGGAACCUGUUGAGCAGA